UGCGUGCAUGACUGUAAGUCGCUUUGGAUAAAAGUGUCUGCUAAAUUACUUACU
rfam:Salmo salar isolate Sally breed double haploid chromosome ssa03, whole genome shotgun sequence.